rnacentral:rRNA from 1 species
GAUGAACGCUGGCGGCGUGCCUAAUACAUGCAAGUCGAGCGAAAAGACGAGGAGCUUGCUCCUCUGACGUUAGCGGCGGACGGGUGAGUAACACGUGGAUAACCUACCUAUAAGACUGGGAUAACUUCGGGAAACCGGAGAUAAUACCGGAUAACAUGUUGAACCGCAUGGUUCAACAGUGAAAGACGGCUUUGCUGUCACUUAUAGCUGGAUCCGCGUCGCAUUAGCUAGUUGGUAAGGUAACGGCUUACCAAGGCAACGAUGCGUAGCCGACCUGAGAGGGUGAUCGGCCACACUGGAACUGAGACACGGUCCAGACUCCUACGGGAGGCAGCAGUAGGGAAUCUUCCGCAAUGGGCGAAAGCCUGACGGAGCAACGCCGCGUGAGUGAAGAAGGUCUUCGGAUCGUAAAACUCUGUUAUUAGGUAAGAACAAAUGUGUAAGUAACUAUGCACGUCUUGACGGUACCUAAUCAGAAAGCCACGGCUAACUACGUG